rnacentral:rRNA from 1 species
GACGAACGCUGGCGGCGUGCCUAAUACAUGCAAGUCGAGCGAGCUGAAUUCAAAGAUCCCUUCGGGGUGAUUUGUUGGACGCUAGCGGCGGAUGGGUGAGUAACACGUGGGCAAUCUGCCCUAACGACUGGGAUACCACUUGGAAACAGGUGCUAAUACCGGAUAACAACAUGAAUCGCAUGAUUCAAGUUUGAAAGGCGGCGUAAGCUGUCACUUUAGGAUGAGCCCGCGGCGCAUUAGCUAGUUGGUGGGGUAAAGGCCUACCAAGGCAAUGAUGCGUAGCCGAGUUGAGAGACUGAUCGGCCACAUUGGGACUGAGACACGGCCCAAACUCCUACGGGAGGCAGCAGUAGGGAAUCUUCCACAAUGGACGCAAGUCUGAUGGAGCAACGCCGCGUGAGUGAAGAAGGUUUUCGGAUCGUAAAGCUCUGUUGUUGGUGAAGAAGGAUAGAGGCAGUAACUGGUCUUUAUUUGACGGUAAUCAACCAGAAAGUCACGGCUAACUACGUGCCAGCCGCCGCCGUAA